ACACACCCUUGGAGAGGAUCCUGGAUAUAGUCUCUGGUGAUGGCACUUUCAUUGGAUGUGGGCAGUGCUCUGUAGAGCUGCAAACUGAUGAGAACGGGAUCUAUAGACCGUUACCCCUGCCUGCCACACACAGGAGUGUGGCGCUACUUUAGGCCAGUUGUUUUAACUGUGAGAGAUCUGUGUGCAUGUCCCUCCUGCUCUUGUGCAGAAGAUACUUCUGAACACUCCUCCAGAAAAGCUGCAUAAGACCAUAGCCCUUGCAUCAGAGGUGCGGUUCAUCCAGGUAGUAGCUAACAGGAUCAGUUCCAUGUUGACAACCAUAAAGAACACAUUUUUUCUGACCGUCCGAAGCCAUUUCCAGUGUGAUGAGAACAGCAUUCCUAUCAUUCAGAACUUUUUAUUAUUAGACUUCAGCUCACUAGAGACAUGAAAAUUAUCCAUGUAUCUUUCAGGUUAUGCUCUGCAUUUUCUUCGACAGUGGUUAAACGGGGCAACGUGAUAGAACUACCUGUAUGAUAUGUUCUUGAAACAACAUCCUUUGUUGAUCCAGGAACAAAUAUUACUUAUGUAAAUUAUA